AACGAACGCUGGCGGCAUGCCUAACACAUGCAAGUCGAACGAGACCUUCGGGUCUAGUGGCGCACGGGUGCGUAACGCGUGGGAAUCUGCCCUUGGGUUCGGAAUAACAGUUAGAAAUGACUGCUAAUACCGGAUAAUGUCUUCGGACCAAAGAUUUAUCGCCCAGGGAUGAGCCCGCGUAGGAUUAGCUAGUUGGUGAGGUAAAGGCUCACCAAGGCGACGAUCCUUAGCUGGUCUGAGAGGAUGAUCAGCCACACUGGGACUGAGACACGGCCCAGACUCCUACGGGAGGCAGCAGUGGGGAAUAUUGGGACAAUGGGCGAAAGCCUGAUCCAGCAAUGCCGCGUGAGUGAUGAAGGCCUUAGGGUUGUGAAGCUCUUUUACCCGGGAUGAUAAUGACAGUACCGGGAGAAUAAGCCCCGGCUAACUCCGUGCCAGCAGCCGCGCAAU
rnacentral:rRNA from 1 species